rnacentral:lncRNA from 1 species
AACAAGUCAUAGUUCAUAGUUCAUAGUUAAGCACCUAAACAACCAUCAUCAAAUUUACACAAAAAUAAACAUCAUCAUCAUCAUGAGCCAUCAUCAUAUCAUCUCCCCCUUUUUGUCAGAAAGCGCCAAAAUGACAAAGGAGGAACCCCGUAAUAUCUAAUCGGAAUCAUCCCCUGGAGGUAAAUCUGCUCGGCAACAUCCUAACUUGUCAAAAAUCGCUGCAUUAACCGCUU